CAACCCCCCAGGCACCCCUGGAAGUCUCCUCUUACUGGCUCCUGAAUCCUUCUGCCAUCACCCGGUCCUUUGAUAACAUCCUCGCUUUCCAGUGUGACACAAUGUUCUGAGCUCCAGAGGCAGAAGGACAAGGAAUCCAAACCACGUGAGGAGAAAUGAGUCCCGGGAUGGAGAAGGGACAAUGAAAAAGGACAGAUGUAGACAGAGGUCAGUCUGCAGGCAGGCAGGCAUGAGCUGGAGUUCUCAUCUACGUUCCCUUGUUCAGAAGGUAAAGUCAGUUGCUGCAAGGGAAAAGCCCGGAGGUAGCCUCUGGCGUUGUUGGAAAAUCAAGAGGAUUUAAAGGAACCUGCAGCGAACACUGCCUGGCGGGCAACAGGGUCGCUGAGCACUUGGCUCUGGAAGACACUGUCCCUGUUACAACGAGGAACAGGAUAGAUGCCAUUCUCAGGAAGCUCGCCAUCUAGUUGGUAUGAAACUACAGAGAGCUUCGAACCACAAAACCCCCAAGUCGCCCCAAAUCCUUAAACAUGCUACAAAAUUUCUAAUUACAACAACAUAAAAAGUCUUUUAGAAAAAAAA